UUGACUUUCUGUCCCGACGGCG
rnacentral:miRNA from 1 species